GCCUGGAUGGAGCCUGCCAGACACUGGGCACGAGGGAGCGAGGGUUCUCCGCGUUUUUUUGUAAAGAUAUAGUAAAUUCAGCUAAUAAGCCCUGCUGGGAUUCAGCUGACUCUUCACAGGCACUUUAAUCCGCAUUUCAACUUCCAUAAAGUGCCUCAGCUCAUUUUGCAUCCACAGGAAAUUUCCUUUUAAUAUUUUAGAUGAUGAGAAAACCUGCCCUCUGGAUAAUCAUAUACCGCUGAAUUUUGAAUCAUGUAAGUAGACUCUGCAAUAUUGUGCUGUUUUGGUUGAGUAUGAUACUUUCAGAGGCUCUUGGUG
rnacentral:lncRNA from 1 species